rnacentral:rRNA from 1 species
UCGGGAAUUUUGGGCAAUGGGCGAAAGCCUGACCCAGCAACGCCGCGUGAAGGAUGAAAUUUUUCGGAAUGUAAACUUCGCAAGAAUGGGAAGAAUAAGUUCAGGAUAAUACCCUGAAUGAUGACGGUACCAUUUGUAAGCUCCGGCUAACUCCGUGCCAGCAGCCGCGGUAAUACGGGGGGAGCAAGCGUUGUUCGGAUUUACUGGGCGUAAAGGGCGCGUAGGCGGCGUGGUAAGUCACUUGUGAAAUCUCCGGGCUUAACUCGGAACGGUCAAGUGAUACUGCUGUGCUAGAGUGCGGAAGGGGCAACUGGAAUUCUCGGUGUAGCGGUGAAAUGCGUAGAUAUCGAGAGGAACACCUGCGGCGAAGGCGGGUUGCUGGGCCGACACUGACGCUGAAGCGCGAAAGCUAGGGGAGCGAACGG